AUGAAGAAGGGAGAAUUGGCUUUGAGAGGAGGUAGGGAUUGAAGUCGCCAUCGGCGCUGUAGGGAGCGGGAGGCAGCAGAAGGCCGGGUGAUUAUAGAGCGUGUGGAGAGAGGAAGGUACUGGGGGAAAAAUUACACUCCAAACCCCGCCCCCCCCCACACCCACACUAGGAGUUGGUGUGUUCUGCUUCGCCAUGCCCGCCGGGUCUCGCGCACAUGGCCCAGCCGUAGGAGACUCCCCUCCCCCCUGCCUUUCCCCGGAGAGCCUGAGUGAGCGCGGCCGGCCCAGCGGCGACCCCCUCCCCAUGCAGGAGACGGAGGAGAGCCAGGCGCCCGCGGCGGCGGCCGGAGCCGAGGGAGCCGGGGACGAGCCCGAGCAGCCGGACGGGCCCCCCCAGCGGGAGGAAGGGCCUUCGCCGGCGCCGCCAUCGCCCGGCUCCCAGGAGGAGCGGUCGCCGCCGCCAUCGCCCGCUUCGCGGGAGACGCCGCCCGCCGCUGAGGAGGCCGUCGCCAGCCAGGAGAAGCCGCCCGGCCCGCAGACCCCCGAGGAGAAGGCGGAGGCCGAGGAGCGGGAGGAAGCCGAGCCCGCGGAGGAGCCCGAGGACGACAUCUCCUUCAGCGACCCCGAGGACUUCGUGGACGACAUCAGCGAGGAAGAAUUACUUGGUGAUGUGCUAAAAGACCAGCCACAGGAGGCAGAUGGAAUCGAUUCAGUAAUUGUAGUGGAUAAUGUUCCCCAAGUUGGACCAGACCGUCUUGAGAAACUGAAGAAUGUUAUUCACAAAAUCUUUUCCAAGUUUGGGAAAAUUACCAAUGAAUUUUACCCGGAAGCAGAUGGGAAGACAAAGGGGUAUAUUUUCCUGGAGUACAUGUCCCCAGCACAUGCAGUGGAUGCUGUGAAAAAUGCAGAUGGAUACAAGUUGGACAAGCAGCACACUUUCAGAGUCAACCUUUUCACGGAUUUUGACAAAUACAUGACAAUCAGUGAAGAAUGGGACAUCCCAGAGAAACAGCCAUUUAAAGACUUGGGGAAUCUUCGCUACUGGUUGGAGGACCCAGACUGUAGGGAUCAAUACAGUGUGAUCUUUGAGUCAGGAGACCGCACUUGCAUCUAUUGGAAUGAUGCAAAGGAACCAGUCGCAAUUGAAGAAAGACCACGGUGGACAGAAACCUAUGUACGCUGGUCCCCAAAAGGUACUUACCUGGCUACAUUCCAUCAGAGAGGCAUUGCUUUGUGGGGAGGAGAGAAGUUCAAACAGAUUCAGAGGUUCAGUCACCAGGGGGUACAGCUUAUUGACUUCUCACCUUGUGAAAGGUAUUUAGUGACCUUCAGCCCUUUAAUGGACACACAAGAUGACCCUCAGGCCAUAAUCAUCUGGGAUACCCUAACUGGACAGAAGAAGCGAGGGUUCCACUGUGAAAGCUCAGCCCAUUGGCCCAUUUUUAAGUGGAGUCAUGAUGGUAAAUUUUUUGCCCGAAUGACAUCGGACACCCUCAGCAUCUAUGAAACACCUUCUAUGGGUUUGCUGGACAAGAAAAGUUUGAAAAUCAACGGGAUAAAGGAUUUCUCAUGGUCUCCAGGGGGUAACAUAAUUGCGUUUUGGGUGCCUGAAGACAAAGAUAUCCCUGCAAGGGUAACACUGAUGCAGCUCCCCUCCAGACAAGAAAUCCGUGUGCGGAACCUGUUCAAUGUGGUGGACUGCAAGCUGCAUUGGCAAAAGAAUGGAGAUUAUCUGUGUGUGAAGGUAGACAGGACUCCUAAAGGUACACAGGGUGUGGUGACCAACUUUGAGAUCUUCCGAAUGAGAGAGAAGCAGGUCCCUGUGGAUGUGGUAGAAAUGAAAGAAAGUAUCAUAGCCUUUGCCUGGGAACCAAAUGGAAGCAAGUUUGCUGUAUUGCAUGGAGAACCUCCCCGAAUUUCUAUCUCCUUUUACCAUGUCAAAAACAAUGGGAAAAUAGAGCUCAUCAAAACGUUUGACAAGCAGCAGGCAAAUACGAUAUUCUGGAGUCCGCAAGGGCAGUUUUUAGUAUUGGCUGGCUUGAGAAGCAUGAAUGGUGCCUUAACGUUUGUUGAUACAUCAGACUGCACCGUGAUGAAUAUUGCUGAACACUAUACAGCCUCGGAUGUAGAGUGGGAUCCUACAGGCCGAUAUGUUGUGACAUCUGUGUCCUGGUGGAGCCACAAGGUCGACAAUGCCUACUGGCUGUGGACCUUCCAGGGUCGUCUCCUCCAGAAAAACAAUAAAGACCGGUUCUGCCAGUUACUGUGGAGACCUCGACCUCCAACCCUGCUCAGCCAGGAUCAGAUAAAGCAAAUUAAGAAGGACCUGAAGAGGUACUCCAAGAUUUUUGAACAGAAGGAUCGUCUAAGCCAAACCAAAGCCUCAAAGGUAAGAAGCUUCUGAGACCCAAUGAAUCAAUGAAAGGCAGCUGAUGCACUUGUAACUCAUAUUAAUCUCAUGUCUUUGUCUAAUUUCAUUGACUGGGCCAUACAGUUUUGGGUCUGCUGCUGCCUCCAAGCUAAUCGGUGUUGUCCCUUAUCUUGAGUAGGAGAGGUCAUUAUGUUUUAGGUCCAGGUUUCCCAGAUUGUCCCCACAUGAUCCAGCCAGGAACAUCGUGAACUCAAGCACAAGCGUAUGUGUAGGGAAGGCAGUAAGGCAGAAUUUGCUGGUUCUUCACUUGAAGAAACUGAGGCAUGGUGUUACUGGUAUAUGUUGGAGGAGGAAUCGGGAAGAAUUUCUGUUAAGUAAAGAUACUUGAGUAAUCUUGGCUGAGACUUGUGGGUUCCUGGUGACUGCCUGUUAGCCAGUUUUAGGAUAAAAAUUUCACAGAAACCAUAAACCCAUCUUGCCACGCUGGAGAAAGGUGUCUUAAACACUGAUGAUUAUCUGUCAGAAGCUGCAUUCAUAAGCAGAAAACCCUAGCUCAUUUCCAAUGCAUCCCACCAGGAUACACUUUAUUGAUGGGCUUGUUUACCUCCUGUUUUGCUUGUGUAGGAGCUCGUAGAAAGAAGACGUACAAUGAUGGAGGAGUUCAAGAAAUACCGCAAGAUGGCACAAGAAUUAUAUUUGGAACAGAAGAAUGAGCGUCUAGAGCUGCGAGGAGGUAAACCAGCCACUGGCAGCAUUGUAAAGAUGUGGCUUUAUCAGUAAAUUUUUUUUUUAAAGCACCAAAUAAACAUCAAUCAGGCUAUAAGAGCAGUCUUUGGUAGUGGAUCAGUGUUUGGGAGUCUUAAGACCUUCUCUUUGUGAUGAGUUGGAGUCCCUUUUUAACAUUUAUUCCCCCUCCUGCCAAAAAUAAUCCCUCGACCCAUGCCCUAGCAGGUUUGCUCACUCCUCAGCCAUUCUUUCCCAUCCUUUGUUUUUUCUGUCUGCUGUUUUGAGGUGGCGAGUAGGGAGAAGGCUACUGUUGCUGCCCAUUGCGGUCAGUACUGAUGGCUUUGCAUGUAACAUGCUGGAGGCCAGCGAUGAUGUUAAAAUACCUUUUAUAUUAAAGGUGCUUCUCUGCUGUGUAUUUUCUUUUUUAGCAAAUGCAUUAGGCAUUUUUGCCUCCUUGGUGGAGGUACUCGGGACUAAUGCCUCUUCUUUUUCUCCAGGGGUGGACACGGAUGAGCUGGACAGCAAUGUAGAUGACUGGGAAGAGGAGACUGUUGAGUUUUUUAUCAAUGAAGAAAUUAUUACCAUUGCAGAACCAGAGUAGUCCAAUAAAACUCUGCACUGCCAUAUCUUGUACUGAAAAGGGGUUCAUUUAUUUUCAGAAAGCCUCCAUCAUCUUCGGAAUUUUUAAUCCAUAUUCUCACUCUGGACGGUGAAUGCACCAGGUUCUCUCCAUUCUGACAUAUUGUAGUGCCUUUAAACUUCACUGUCAGCAGUCGGGAUAUUUGAAAGGCACUGCUUUUAAAUUUUUAUUCAUUUGGGAGGGGUUGUCUUUCUUUUUAAAUCCACCACCAGUAUUUGCUGUCUGACUCCUGUGCAUUGCUUACCAGUUGGCAAUUUUGAACUGUUGCCAGUAGGUGAGCAUUAUCCGUGCACCUUCCAAAGUCUUGCAUGCUCACAAUGCUUCUCUUUGCAGAGGACUCUUUUUAUGUCCCAGGUGCAUGGACAGAUGUCUGUUUUGUAUGGGGAAAGAUCAGCAGGAAAACCAUUUUUCAUAUGAUGUAUGUUAGUGUGCUGAAGCAGCACUACAGUGGGCUGUACCCUCCUCCAUUCAGAUUGUGACAGAGUUCAACAGGUUAUAAAUACGGAAAUAAAAGCAGACCUAUACUAAAAA